rnacentral:rRNA from 3 species
UUGAUGGGGUAAGGCUCCCAGUAGACGACUGGGUUGAUAGGCCGGAUCUGGAAGCACGGUAACGUGUGGAGGUGACCGGUACUAAUAGGCCGAGGGCUUGUCCUCAGUUG